UACUAUCAUCCAGAUGGCACAGCAGACUCAAGCCCUCCAUGCCAGAACCCAGGAUUAUGGUUGACUAGGAGGCUGGGGCUCUUGGGGACAAAAAUUUUUUUUUGGACAAAAAUAUACAUAAAUGCUGGAGAGAGAUGGCGUCUGUUAUCGUGCUCAGUUGUUAAGAGAGAGGAAGAAGGCAAAAAUAACGCUGAUGCUGUGGGUGGAGAAGAUCAUUCCAGGACAAUGAAAUCUUUUGCAGUAUGCUCCUUUGGGGAUCCUGACUCAGCUGGCAUCCUGUGGAAUGUUCUGGGUUGUUUGCCUUCCCUUCAAAACAAGUCCCCUGCACCAGUCUUUGUAGUCUUCGCACCAGCUGUUUUCACUUCCAAAGUGGAUCAUUCAGAAUGCCUAAUGAAGAGUUCAGAAGCAUGGGAAGUGUUCCUUUAG
rnacentral:lncRNA from 1 species